GGGACUGCUUGGAGUGGAGACACCUGACGGCUGAACCCAACAGCAAUGCUGGCACGAGUCGCACGGCCACCGUUCGUCCUCUGUCCUCACCGAGCCGCCAAACUCGCAACCGCCGCCCACGCGCGCCGGCGACGCAGCUCUUUCUGACUUCCUCUUCCUCCCCUCGCCGGCGGCCGGCGGCGGCGACACCCGAUCGCGUCGCAUGACCAGGAGCCAAACCCCGAAAUCCCUCGCCGUCCUGCUCCGCGCCAGGAUGCACCCGGACCCUAUCCCCUCACCCCCGCACGCUCCGUCACCCCCCGACUCCAGCGCCCCGCCCGCCGCCGCCUCCUCCUCGGUCCGCCAAUGGCUCCACGCCUCCGUAUCCGCGGCCUCCCCGUCCCCCGCCGCCCUCGACUGCUUCUCAGACGGGUACCGCUCCCUCGACCGCCCCGGCCGCCACGAGAUCCUCCGGUCCCUCGCGACCGACUACGACGUGCCCCGCGCGCGGGUCCGCGACCUCAUGCGCCAGUACGUGAGCGUCUCCGCCACCGGGGAUGAGCACCCGGGGGCCGAGAAGGAGGACGGCGGCGCCGCGUCGGCGCUGUACCGUAUGGAGCGUGGCCUCCGGGACGCGCUACGCCCCAAGUACGCCGGGUUCCUUGAGGCCAUGAACGCGCAGCCCGGCGGGCUCAAGUUCCUCGCCGUCAUCCGCGCCGACCUCCUCGCCUUGCUGGGGGAGGAGAAUGCUCCAGUGCUGCGUGCGCUGGAUGGGUACUUGAAGGAGAAGCUGGUGACAUGGCUCAGCCCGGCGGCCCUGGCGCUCCACCAGAUAACCUGGGAUGAUCCUGCCACCUUGCUGGAGAAGAUUGUGGCUUAUGAAGCUGUGCAUCCAAUCAGGAAUCUGAUAGACUUGAAGAGGAGGCUGGGCGUUGGCCGACGUUGUUUCGGUUACUUCCAUCCAGCGAUACCAGGGGAGCCCCUGAUUUUCAUCGAAGUUGCUCUCCUCAAAGACAUGGCCACAUCUAUACAGGAAGUUUUACUGGAUGUCCCUCCAAUUGCUGAAUCUGAAGCUAAAUGUGCACUGUUUUACUCAAUAUCGUCAACCCAGCCAGGAUUAUCAGGUAUUAAUUUGGGAAAGUUCCUUCUCAAGCGCGUCAUUGACAUGUUGAGAAAGGAUAUGCCUUCAGUGCAGAUCUUUGCUACACUUAGCCCAAUACCUGGUUUCAUGCAAUGGCUUCUCGCUAAGCUGGCCUCACAAAUAAAAUUAGCAGAGAGAGAGUUGCAAGAGGGUAAUUCAUUAGAAAUUGCCGGUUCUGCUUUCAGAGAAUCCAUCCUUCUCCCAGAGGAAGAGAAGCUGCUACAGAACGCUGUUGAACAAGUUAAUAGUAAACAAGGAAUUGAACUUUUGCAAGAUAUACUGACAUCAAGCCUGUGGGUAAAGUCUGACAAAUUAUCUGCUGCGCUAAAAUCUCCUCUUAUGCGUUUGUGUGCAAGGUAUCUUGCCAGAGAGAAAAAGCGAGGAAAAGCUCUAGAUGCUGUUGCAAACUUUCACUUACAAAAUGGAGCAAUGAUUGAGAGAAUAAACUGGAUGGCUGACCAAUCAGAGAAGGGCAUUGAACAAAGUGGAGGUAUCAUGGUCAAUUAUCUGUACAGGUUAGAGAAUAUAGAAGAGUAUGCACUGUCUUAUUCGGGUACAGGGCAUAUCCAUGCUUCACCUAGCCUCUCCAAAUAUGUUGAGGAACAGCCAAAUACAUGAGACAGAGAUGCAGUUGCUUCCCAUUGACACGUGGCCUAUAUGUGUGAUGCAGUCGACGAAGAUACUUUGCAAUGAUAUAAUACGACACCUAUUUUCCGGUUUAUUGUGGACGUUCCUGGGACAUGUUUAAUUUGGCAGUGGCUGUUCUGAAUACUUUCUGAAAGCCACAAAGGGGUAAUACGUGUCUCAUUUAUAGAAUAAAUAUCAAGUUACAAGCCACGUCAACAUCGACAUGACAAAACUGAAAGGAUAUGAGAACCCUAGCUUUUGCAAAAGGGACCUUCGGCCAGAAAAGAAAAUUACAAUCCUGGCUGAAGAAACCCUUGAGCAAAACACGAACGCAUGUCAUAUAAACUGGAAACAUGCACACCAUUAUGUAUGUAUGCACACUACAUUAUAAGAUCACAUCUUCUAUUAGUGGGGAAAA